GAUGAACGCUAGCUACAGGCUUAACACAUGCAAGUCGAGGGGAAACGACAUCGAAAGCUUGCUUUUGAUGGGCGUCGACCGGCGCACGGGUGAGUAACGCGUAUCCAACCUGCCCACCACUUGGGGAUAACCUUGCGAAAGUAAGACUAAUACCCAAUGAUAUCCCACGAAGGCAUCCGAAUGGGAUUAAAGAUUUAUCGGUGAUGGAUGGGGAUGCGUCUGAUUAGCUUGUUGGCGGGGUAACGGCCCACCAAGGCUACGAUCAGUAGGGGUUCUGAGAGGAAGGUCCCCCCACAUUGGAACUGAGACACGGUCCAAACUCCUACGGGAGGCAGCAGUGAGGAAUAUUGGUCAAUGGGCGAGAGCCUGAACCAGCCAAGUAGCGUGCAGGACGACGGCCCUAUGGGUUGUAAACUGCUUUUAUACGGGAAUAAAGUGGGCCACGCGUGGCUUUUUGCAUGUACCGUAUGAAUAAGGACCGGCUAAUUCCGUG
rnacentral:rRNA from 1 species